rnacentral:rRNA from 1 species
UACAGAGGUCUCAAGCGUUGCUCGGAAUUAUUGGGCGUAAAGCGCACGUAGGCGGCUCCGCAAGUCGGAUGUGAAAUCCCUCGGCUCAACCAAGGAAGUGCAUCCGAAACUGCAGAGCUUGAGUACUUAAGAGGAUCGCGGAAUUCCCGGUGUAGAGGUGAAAUUCGUAGAUAUCGGGAGGAACACCAGUGGCGAAGGCGGCGAUCUGGGAAGAUACUGACGCUGAGGUGCGAAAGCGUGGGGAGCAAACAGG